ACGAUUAGACUGUUUUGAUGAGGAAUUUAAAGAUUAUGUGUCCCAUCCGUUUGACUCACCGUUUGGUACCAUAGGUUGGUACGAUCUUCGUUCGAGAAGAAAAAGGGAUGUUCCAGAUACAGAAAAUGGUCAAACCAUUUACUACAAAGUCCGUUUCUGGGUGGAGUUAGUGGAACCGAAAAAGAUGUCUCCCUCACAGCGUUUGUGACAAAAGAAUUGCAUCGUUCCUUGGCGGCCUUUCAGCAGAAGAAUAUUCAGACAUUUCCCGAGUGAUUCUGAUGUUGGUUCCUGGAAAGCCUCCAUUGUUGGAGGACGAGAAGCCGUAUCCAAUUGAAGCAGCAUAGGCUUUUGCGAUGACUGUGGAAACCACUGCUUAUGCCUUGCUUCAAGCAUUGUCAAGGAAUGAUAUUGACUAUGCAACACCGAUUGCGAGGUGGCUAA